rnacentral:lncRNA from 1 species
AAAUAAGGGACCAGGAGAAACCUCCUGUGGGACUUGUAGAUCUAAGAAAUUACAGAGCAGGGAGAAAGUGGUAGUAGUCCCUGUGUCAUAAAUGAUCCUGGAUCUUUUUUAUGUUCAUCCACAUGUCAGAGAGAGAGUCACAGGGAAGAAGUGGAUGCUCUGGCCUUCUCAGAGGGUAAUGCCCGGGCUUUUUCUCAACUAGGCUAUACAGAAAGAAGAAAGUUAGAAGGGUCAUACUGCUUCCCUCAGCCAACCUUCUCCAUCUCCCAGAGAGAGUUUAGCACAGAUAUCUUCAGAUUAAUAUCUGGAAUUAAAUGGGCUCCUUGUGCCUCAACAUCUGGGAGAUGUGCCCGGCCUGGUACCUACUAAUCCAGAAUCUUCUUAGAGAAGGAACCUGGGUUGGACCUUGGGCCAGGGGAAAGGAUUCUUCAGCACUGAGACAGAGUCUCACUACAUUGCCCAGGUGGAAGUACAGUGGCUACACACAGGCAUGAUCAUAGUGCACUACAGCCUGGAGUUCCUAACCUCAAGUGAUCCUCCUGCCUCAGCCUCCCGAGUAUCUGGGACUACAGGCAUAUGCAGCAGAAGAUUGCUUUAAAAAAAAAAAAGAUGGCUCUGGGCUUCGGAGACUUAUUUGUAUACAAUGCUGGGGAAUUAUGGUGUAAGCCAUCCAGCUUAUCUUCACAGGUGUGGGACAAAGGACAAAACUCAAACUCAUCCGUCUGCUCACCUGAGACAAAUGCAUAUUUGAUUGCUUCUUCUGAUGUAAAAAUGCAGAUUCACUGAGGAAGAUGAAGGCAUAAGUGACUAUUCCUCUACCCCCUCUCACAUGUAAAUUGUGUAUUCAGUGAAAGGCUGAUCAAAGACUCAAAAAAAUGCAACCAUUUGUCUCUUAUCUUCCCACACCUUUUAAAAAUGUGGUCAUCUUUCCCCAAUAUCCGCCUUUUCCCCCUUUAGACAUUGAAGCCCUCAAAAUUAUCUUUGGAGAAAGGCACAGACCUGCCUCCCAGGUGCACAUCCUUAACCAUGGCAAAAUAAAAUUUCGAAAUUGUUUCUGACCUGUCUUAGGUACUUUUCUGGUUUACAAACUCAACAACAAAAAGAUAAAUAACCCAAUUAACAAAUGGGCAAAGGAGAAAUAGAUAUUUCUCCAAAGAAGAUACACAAAUGGCUAACAAGCACAUGAAAAGAUACUUAACAUCAUUAUUUACUAGAGAAAUGCAAAUCAAAACCACAAUGAGAUACUAUUUCACACCCACUAGCAUGACUAUAAUUUUUUUAAAACAGGAACCUAACAAGUGUUAGCCAGGAUGUGGAGAGAUUGGAACCCUCAUACAUUGCUAGUGGGGAUGUAAUGUAAAGUGGUAUUGCUGUUGGGGAAAACAGUUUGGUAGUUCCUCAAAAACUUAAACAUAGAGUUACCAUAUGACCCAGCAAUUCCACUCCUAGGUAUAUACCCAAAAGAAUUGAAAACAGGUGUUCAAACAAAAAUUUGUACAAGAAUGUUCAUAAUAGCACUAUACACAAUAACCAAAAGGUAGAUAGGACACAAGUGUCUAUCAAUGGAUGAAUGGCUAAACAAAAUGUGGUACAUCCAUAUAAUGAAGUAUUAUUUAGUCAUAAAUAGAAAUGAAGUACUGAUAAAUGUCACGACAUGGAUGAACCUCAAACACAUUAUGCUAAGUGAAAGAAGCCAGCACAAAAGCCACAUAUUGUAUGAUUCCAUUUACGUGAAAUAUCCAGAGUAGGCAAGUACAGAGAUAGAAAGCAGAAUAGUUGUUGUCAGGGGCUGAUGGGAGAUACGAAUGGUGAAUGACUGCUUAAUAGGAACGGGGUUUCCAUUUUGGAGAACCAAACAGGUUCUGGACCUUGAUAGUGGUGAUGAUUGUACAACAUUGUGAAUGUAUGUACUGUCACUGAAUUGUAUACUUUAAAAUGGUUAAAAUGGUAAAUUUUAUGUGAUCUGUAUUUUACUACAAUAAAAAAUGUUAUCUAAUUCAAUCCUUCCACUAGUUCAGAUUAUACAUCCCAAUUCAUCUGAUUUAGUGGCAUUCUGCAGAAAAUACUUGUAGUCAUAGCCCAGAUCCAUAAAACAAUAAGCAUCCAUCCACCUACUACCAGUCUGUGCUUUAACUUUGGUUUUAACCUAAUUUCUUUGUUGACAUAUCUAACUGAGGGCUGCUUCACUUCAUAGGAUCUUUUAACAUCAAAA